rnacentral:lncRNA from 1 species
UUUUUAAGUAAUCUCUACACCCAAUAUGAGGCUCAAACCUACAACAACCCUGAGAUCAGGAGUCACAUACUCUGGGGCACCCGGGGGGCUCAGGGGCUGAGCAUCUGCCUUCGGCUCAGGGCGUGACCCCGGGGCCCUGGGAUUGAGUCCCACAUUGGGCUCCCCGUGGGGAGCCUGCUUCUCCCUUUGGAUGUGUCUCUGCCUCUCUCUGUGUGUCUCUCAUGAAUAAAUAAAACUUUAAAAAAAAAGAGUCACAUACUCUACUGAGCCAGCCAGGUGUGCCUAUUUUUAUUAAAAUAUUUAAUAAUUGGGGAUCCCUGGGUGGCGCAGCGGUUUAGCGCCUGCCUUUGGCCCAGGGCGCGAUCCUCGAGACCGGGGAUCAAAUCCCACGUUUGGCUCCCGGUGCAUGGAGCCUGCUUCUCCCUCUGCCUAUGUCUCUGUCUCUCUCUCUCUCUGUGUGACUAUCAUAAAUAAAUAAAAAUUAAAAAAAAUAUUUAAUAAUUGAACUAAGGUUCAAGGAAUUAAAUAACAAUUCAGCCUAAAUUAUUUUAAUUUAAAAUGUAAUACUUAUUAUUUAUAAUUUGUAUUGCCUUUUAACAGAUUUUUUAAUAUUUUAGUAAUCUUUUGAAGACUUUCAUUUAAAAUGAUUUUUGAUGACUUUAAACUUAUAUUUUGAUGAAAAUACAUCCAAAUUUCGAUGUUUAUAGCAACAAUGUCCACAAUAGCCAAACUGUGGAAGGAGCCUCAGUGUCCAUCGAAAGAUGAAUGGAUAAAGAAGAUGUGGUCUAUGUAUACAAUGGAAUAUUACUCAGCCAUGAGAAACGACAAAUACCCCAUGUGCUUCAAUGUGGAUGGAACUGGAGGGUAUUAUGCUGAGUGAAGUAAGUCAACCGGAGAAGGACAAACAUUAUAUGGUCUCAUUCAUUUGGGGAAUAUAAAUCAUAGUGAGAGGGAAUAUAAGGGAAGGGAGAAGAAAUGUAUGGGAAAUAUCAGAAAGGGAGACAGAACAUAAAGACUCCUAACUCUGGGAAACGAACUAGGAGUGGUGGAAGGGGAGGAGGCAGGGGGUGGAGGUGAAUGGGUGACGGGCACUGAGGUGGGCACUUGACGGGAUGAGCAAUGGGUGUUAUUCUGUAUGUUGGCAAAUUGAACACCAAUAAAAAAUAAAUUUAUUAUUAUAAAAAUAACAAAUUUGACACACAUUUUUUAAUACUUUAGAUUUUUUUAAAAAUUAUUUAUUUAUUUGCGAGAGAGAGAGAGAGAGAGAGAGAGCACAAGUGGGAGGAAGGAAACAGAAGGAGAAGGAGAAGCAGACUCCCUGCUGAGCGUGGAGCCCAACCCCAGCCUGGUCCCAGGGUUGACCUGAGCUGAAGGCAGACACAUAACUGACUGAGCCACCCAGAUGCCCCUAAUCCAUUAGAUUCUUAUUGUCAAUUGAAAACCAGGUAUGGUAAACAACAUAAUUAGUGAUUUUUUUUUAAUGAAGAUAAAAAAAUGUAAAUGUAUCUUAUGAAUUGAAUUAAAUGUCUAUUUUUUUAAUUUUAUUCAUUUGAUAGUGAAAGGGAAUAAGGGGAAAGGAGAAAAAAUGAGUGGGAAAUAUCAGAAAGGGAGACAGAACAUGAGAGACUCCUAACUCUGGGAAAUGAACUAGGGGUUGUGGAAGGGGAGGUGGGUGGGGGGUGGGGGUGACUGGGUGACAGGCACUGAGGGGGGUACUUGAUGGGAUGAGCACUGGGUGUUAUUCUGUAUGUUGGCAAAUUGAACACCAAUAAAAAAAAUUUAUAAAAAAAUUGUACUCAUUUGAGAGAAAAAGACAGAGAUAGUAACAGAGAUAGUGAGACAAAGCACAAGAGGGGAGGAGAGGGAGAAACAGGUUCCCCACUAAGCAGGGAGCCCGACAUGGGGCUCUAUCUCAGGACCCUGAGAUCAUGACCUGAGCCGAAGGCAGAUGCUUCAUUGACUGAACCACCCAGGCGCCCCUAAAUGUCUACUUUAUUACCCCAUCCAAACAUUUCCCAUCAGCAUAAUACCAGAGCAUGCAAAGUAAUCAUUAAAUUCCAUUAUCAGGAAUAUUUUGCCAACUUUCAAUGACAUAAAGACCAUGGCUUUAUCUAUAUUCUGUUAUUAUAAAAGCACAUUUGUCAAAGCAGCAGAACAUAGUAUAUGUAGCACUGAGUUAUAACUCUCAUUCUUUAGACAUACGGUAUGUCAUCCAUUUGCAGCCUUGCCUGAGGUCUGAUGGAUAUUAGAAAAGGGGUCUUUCUUCAAGCAACUCAACUUAUGUCCCACACAAUGUGGUGCCUUUGUUUAUUUCUCAGAUAAGUCAGAGCCCACAAGAGUGAGAAAUAAGAUGCUGAGUGGCAAUCACUGAAGGAAUUUGUCGGCUAUCUCUACAUCCUGUAUGUGGUACAGCAGACCCAAUGUCUGUAGAGCCGUGUGUCAGUCACUAAGGGACUAUUCUGACACAACCAAUGUUUGCAGACAGUGUGUGUGUUAGUCAUCUACUGCCGUGUAACCAAUCCCCACAAACUUAGCAGCUUAAAAUAACACGCAUUUAUUAUCUCACGGUUUCUGUGGGUCAAGAAUCCAGACACAGUUUAGCUGGAUCCUAUGCUCAAAGCCUCAAGCUUGUAAUCAAAGUGUCAGAUGGGCUGCAUUCUCAUCUGCAGGCUUGACUGGGAAAGAACCCAAGCUCAUUUGGGUUGUUGGCAAAAUUCAUUUCCUUGCAGCUAAAGGUCUUAGGGCCCAACCUCUUACCAGCUAUUGGCUGGAAGCCACUCAGAUCCUAGAAGCCACCCAGAGUUUCUUGCCACAUGGCUCUUUUACAAUAUGCCCAUAAGCUUUUUCAAGGCCAACAGCUGACCCUGUAUGUCCAACCUGCCAAGGCAGAGACUUAUAUAACAUAAUUAAAGGAAUGAUAUCCUAUCACUUUGCCACAUUCUAUUGGUUAGAAGCCAAGUUACACAUUCUGCCACGUUCAAGAGAAGGGGAUGACAAAGAGGUUAUCCUCCUUGGGGGGGUCACCUUAGGAUAUGCCUGCUAAUGUGUAUAUCUGUAUGUUCUAGCAGAAUGGUGAGAUCCUGAGAAAAUUUCCAUGUAGGGGCACCUGGGUGGCUCAGCUGGUUAAGCCUCUCACUCUUGGUUUUGGCUCAGCUCAUGAUCUCAGAGUCCUGAGACUGAGCCUGGUGUUGGGCUCCAUACUCAGUGCUGAGUCUGCUUGAGAUUCUCUCCCUCUCCCUCCUCUACUGUCCCGACCCCCCCACACACUGUCUCUCUCUCUCUCCCCCCCUUCUCAAAUAAAUACAUAAAUAAAAUAUUUUUUAAAAAAAUUCCCAUCUACCUAGAGAAGAAAGGUGAUGGACACAAUUUUCAGAAAUUCAUACGGGCCAUAUAUUUGUCCUAGCUGGAAGGUUCCACACCGUGAAUUGUACUAAAACUGCUGUUGUUUGCCCUAGAUCUUUCUAGGUGUCUAAUCAAAGUAGCAACCAGUCAUUUUCUGCUCUCUGCCUAGUUACAAAGUUCUGGGUAUACUAUACAUACUCUUCGAGAAGACAUUUCUGGUCAUGAAUUCAGCAUCAGUUUCCAGAAUUUCCUGAUAGAUCCAAACUGCAAGGUCCUAUAAGAUAUACACAGAAGAUGAACCCAACCCUGUUUUAUUAUCAUUUGCAGCCCUGUUGGUAAGGAAAGACAAGACGCACAUCCAAGAAUGAAAUUUCAUUCUAAUAUCAUCUUCUCCCUGAGGCCUCCAGUGAAAGCCUCCUCCCCUCCCUCCUCCUUAUCCUCUAUUAAUCCACAUACAAACACAGCUUCUUGUACAGAGUCCUGCACCCUCUACACCUUGACUAUCCCCCUAUAAUCUCUCUCCCAUUACACUGGGAUAUCUUUGAGGCCAGGGCGAUUUACUCAUACCUACAUGGCCAGCCCCUGGAACCACCCCUGACAUGGAGCCAUCUCUCCACAUGAUUCAGAUGGAUGGACAGAUUGAUAAUAGAUGAGCUGUAUGACGGUAAACAGUAUAGGACUGCAGGGGUGAAACCCUUGUUCAAGCCAUGCCACUUCUCUGAAGGUAUUUCUAAUUUUCCCAUUAGUAAAAAAUGGAAUUGUACAAUAUUCAGCAAAGGAAUUGGACAUAAUAAAAUUCUUUUUAUUCCUGUGAUUCCAUCUAAUAGGAAGUUCAAAACCAGGCAAAACUAAUUCUUAGUCAGAAUGGGAGGGUGGAAGAACUGCCUGGGAGUGAAAUGAAGAAAACUUUUGCUAGAAAUAAUCUAAAGCCUGGUCUGUAGACAAGUGUAGGCAUAUAUAAAAUAUACAUCAAGCUGUUCAUGUAAGAUCUGUGAGCUGUACGCUAUGUAGCAUACUGAAAUCUUUAAAAAUCUAAAUUAGGGCCCCCGGGUGUCUCAGUGGUUGAACAUCUGGCUCCGGCCAAGGCCGUGACCCUGGAGUCCCGGGAUCGAGUCCUGCAUCGGGCUCCCCAAGGGGGCCUACUUCUCCCUCUGCCUGUGUCUCUGCCUCUCUCUCUCUUGUGUCUCUCAUGAAUGGGUGGAUAAAAUCUUUAAAAAAAAAAUCUAAACUAAAAAGAGGCUGAGAGGACUGUGUCUGGGGGCUCUGUGUAGAGCACAGCGCCAUUACUUCACUAGGAGUCCUAUCAGGGAAAGUGGUGUUGGCAGUGUGAUCAUCUUGAAGGGAUCAGCAUGAGAGUCCUCCUCAGUUGUUUAACCCAGGGUUCGCAGGACUUGCUGACGUGGGCAGGUGCCGCUGGAGGAAUGCUACCAUUUCCUCUGGGUCACGUUAUCCUCCUCUGUGGACCUUGAAGAUCAGGUACUGCUUCAUUAAAUGAUUCCCUGAAGUCUACCUUAAAGCCAGGGAACAUCAUCCCAGCUGUCAGAGAGACAUGCACCUGUCUCUGGGGUGACAUCCGCCAGGUUAUACUCUGGUCCAAGGCUGCACAAGGAGCUCUGUGACGCCUUCCGGCACAAAGACCACGGGCUCGUUUGCUAGAGGUAUGUGAGGACACGUCCAGGGCUGCUCCCAAUGGGACUCCUGUGUUACAGAUUUUCUGCAGCUGCAAACAGGUAACUGUGCUGGCUGUUCUCUUGUAUCCCAUAUUCAUUUGAAAAAGCAGUUAAUUGUACACUACUGGUCUCGUGAUGCAGGGGAGAAAGCACGACAUCAGAUGCCAGAUGACAAAGAUGGCAGAUUACAUGGCUCCUCCCAAAGCACAUGUGUUUGGAGAAAUUGUGUCUCCAGGUUAGUACGGGAGGCUGGUGAGAAACCAGGCCCUCUUGAAAAUGACUUCCAGCAAAGUGGACCUAUCUCCCUUCUGUGAUUUCAAAUGGCACCUGAGCCUAGCCCAAAAGCUGCUGUGUGCUCAUCAGGUCUAUCUCACUCCUACAAGACUGUAAGUUCCCUCAUAGCCAAGCCACGCCUUGUGUGUGUCCUGCUUCCCCAGAGUCCCUGGCCUAGGGCUGGGCACCGUCUGGUCACUGAACACUUGGUGACUUACAUACGUGUCAAAAUCCAAUAGUUAAACAAUUCAAACGUGUAACCAAUGCCCUUCAAGCACUGUCCUUGGCCUAGACAAGGAAAAAGGACAUGUAAGGUCUCAAGAUGUUCACUGCUAAGAGGGGAGAGGUCAGGAGAGGAUGCAUCUUUCUGCCAUGACAGAAGCCUAGUAGAGAGGUAAGUGGGGUGCCAUUCACUCCCUGCACAUCACUUUACAAAUGAAGUGUACCUACUACGAAGCCCUUGUCUAUCAGCUCUGAACCACCUCUUUGUACCUUGCUCAGCAAUGCUGGGCUGGAAAUUAGCAAAAUGCAAGUCACAUUGCCCUUUGACAUUGGUGCCCUGUCUGUUUCCACCACCAGGGGGCUUUAGACCGAGCCUGCAAGUGGAAGGAGGGGGUUCCUGACUGUGAUCCCCACACUGGCUCUGCACACCUGCCAGAGCUACCGGCGGCAUCUGGGCAGGGCCCACCUCUCCAAGGUCAGAGCCUCCGUUCUGAGAGGCCUCCCUCCAAUGCCCCACGAUAUCCACACCAGGCCAGCGACAGUCCCUCCUCUGCACUCUGAGCCAUGGCUUGGCAAGCCUCCUUCUCCAGGCUUAUUUCCUUGUUCCCUCAACCCUGUGGGGCAGUGGCUGCCUCUGCAGUUACCUCUUCUGUUUUGUGCAAGUUCCCUUCACCUUUGCAGGCCUCUCACACCUAUUUAACCAAUUUCCUCCAUUCAACUGUAUUAACAUGAACUAGUAUGCUCUGCUUUCCUAACCAGGGUCCUGGUCAGAAGGGAGGUGACCUGCCCAACACCUCUCGGGUACUCAGGGGCACAGCUGGCACCAGGAACCAAGCUCCCUGAUCCCAAAUCCUAAUUUUCUAUCCACAUUUGCAGACCGGAAUGGUCAAAGGCAGUACAGCAAAACGAUCAACUGGGUUUUAAAGCCAAACUACUCAGAUUCCAAUCUUGCAUCCAGCAAGGUCUAGCUCUAGAACCUACAGCAAGUUACUUCUCUGUGUUUCAAGUUUUCCCAUCAGUAAAAUACAAAUGGCAACAGAACCCAUCAUACGGAUGCUGUGAGGUGUUAACACAUGUCAAGCACUGAGAACAGGACUGGUAUAAGGAAUAGUCCUGGCUCCAUAAUCACCAUCAUCAUCACCAAGCAGCAGCAUGGCAGAAAGAGUAUAGUCCUCAGUCACAAAGAUCAGUGUUUAAAUCUCAGUUCUGUCUCCUACUGGCUGUGUGUCCUCAGCAAGCCACGUCACCUGAGCUUGGUGGCCUGUCCCUAUCGUGAGGCAGAUCUCACAGAGGAAGAAUCAAGACAAACACAUGAAACUCUCAAGGUUCAGCAACCAAGUCCUUAAUGAAAGGUUAUCUCUGCUGUUACUAAUUUUAUCAAAAUUUUGGUCUAAUGGGCCAAAAAUCUAGAUCACUGGGACAGGCAUGUAAUGAGUUUAGAACAAAGAUGCCUUGGGUUGUCAUCAUGGCAAAGGAAGUGAGUCUGUGCUCUCAAGACACCUCAAACUCUCGCCACACUCCUAGAUGACACACAAGGAUGUGGUCAAACCAGGACGACACAGUCGGCGGCUCCCAGUCUGAGCUCCGCAGUACUCACGGACUUGCUAUAACAUGGCCAUGGGAAGUUUAACUAUGAUUUACAUCUUCUCCACUUCCAAGAAGGAUUUUCAGUACCUAUAAUAGAAUGUUAUAAGAUGGAAACUUAAGGUCAGAAACAGAGAUCUGAACCCAGAGGUGAAGGGGGAGAAGGAUAUGGAUAAAGAUAAUCUACUCUGAUCCUGUGUCAAAAUGGGUAUUUUCUCUAAGUAUUAAAGAAAUCCUGUUUCCCAACAGCCAAAGUAAAAAGCGAAUCAUAAUCGUUUAUGUAAUUCUCAUUUUUCAUUAGGGGAAGGUAUUGUUUUAAUGGCAGAAAAUUUUCCAUGACACUAAAUAAGGAAAUUUAAUUGAGACUUUACGUAGGGAAUAUUGCAUUAACACAGUGAAUCGUCCCUUCAGUGGUCACUCUUCAGAAGGUAUGAGAACUCAAUUUGGGGCUUACUACUUGAGCAAACAGAGUCAGGUCAUUGCAACAUGAGACUGGUAGUUAUCUGUAGGAGAGACCAAAGAUGACAGCUCUAGCUUGCUCCAUCCUCCGCCAGGCCAGGAAUGGGAGUCACACAGUUUCUUGAAACACUUCCAGGAUAUAGAUUAAUUUUUUCCCUUCAAAGAAAGGCAAGAACAUGAUUGAGAACAGAAAGGCAACGUGCCGUGGAGGUGACAGAUGGAAACGUACGAACACGUGACCAAGAGCAACUCCUGAGAUCUGCCGGUCUCCAGCGCGGUCGGUCACCUGCCCGUGUGUGUCUGUGCUGCCAACCCGAUUCACCCCUCUGGCUUCUCUGCCCCACCUGCCCCACUGCUCAGGCUGGGGCUCUUCUCCCUGCUGACAGGGCCUCCACAAGUCAUGUCUAAAUAACACUCGAGCCAAGAGCAGCCAUCAGAGAUGAAGGGAUAAAAGAAAAAAAUAAUCCCAAGAGCUGAACCCAAGGCAGGACACACAGGAGUUAAGGACCUGGGAUUUAGAAUUAGAAGACACCGGCUCAGGUCCCAGUUCCAACACGUAAGGGUUUGUGAGACCUGUGGGCACAGUAUUUCGCCUCCAUCUACUUCCCCUCCCAUUUCUGUGCCAGUGGAUAUUGCCACACCGCACAGGGGGCAUUGCUGUUGGAAGGAGUCCCUGGAACAAAGCCGGUACAGGCCUCCCGUCCCUCUUGGCCACCUGCUCCGUGCUAGCUGUGAGGAGGAGGACGAGGCCCGGAGGGGUCCCCUGCAAGGCAGCACGGCCUUCUCCAGCAGAGACGCGUCCGCUCCAGGAAGAGACCUCAACAUCUCAGUGGCAUCACACCGCCAAGCUGCCCUCUCUUUCAGGCUCAGGGUCCCGGGUGCGCCAGGCUCCGCAGCCACACGUGGCUCCGUGACCACUGCACACCAGCCGGUGCGUCCGUCCGGGAGGCUCGCUUCUGCUCAGCACGCCUGAGGCAAGGUGGCCGCAUGCUCCUGCCCACGGGCCGGGGCUUAUUUCCUUAAAUGCAGUGUUACUGGAACACGGCAGCUCCCAGUCUUCACAGAUAGUCUGGGACCGCUUCCCAACCAGGACAGCAGAGCCAAGUUACAGCAGAGCCCCAGGGCCCAAAAGCUUAAACUAUCUACUGUGUAGUCCUUUAAGAAAAAUCUUGGGACCCCCCAGGUGGCUCAGUGGGGGAGUGUCUGCCUUCGGCUCAGGGCGUGAUCCUGGGGUCCCCGCAGGGAGCCUGCUUCUCCCUCUGCCUGUGUCUCUGCCUCUCUGUGUCUCCAUGAAUAAAUAAAAUCUUUAUAAAAAAAAAAAAAA